GCUCUGGUAGCUCAGUUGGAAGAGCGGUGCCAUCCGAUGAUGAAUUGGACAAUUUCGUUUAAUGCACCGGCGCAUGUUCGAACCAUGCCCAGAGCC